GCUGAUGAUGCUGAGACGAUUUUUUGAAUUUCCAGUCAAAUUUUUUAGGUCGCAAAGGAUAUUUGCCCCGUUGGCGCCUUUUUUAAACUCCAUUUUAAAAAAUAAAUACAGAAAAUAAAAUAAGCUACAAAUUUAUCAUUGAUUCAAGAAGCUAAAGAUUUAUUAUUGAUUCAAGAAGCUAAAGAUUUAAAAAUACAGAAAAUAAAAAAGCUAAAGAUUUAUCAUUGAUUCAAGAAGCUAAAGAUUUAAAAACAGAAAAUAAAAGAAGCUAAAGAUUUAUCAUUGAUUCAAGAAGCUAAAGAUUUAAAAACAG